rnacentral:lncRNA from 1 species
UAAUAAUAAUAAUAAUAAUAAUAAUAAUAAUAAUAAUAAUAGCUUUUGAACGCGACCUUUAAAUACAGUAUGUAUGAUUUUAUCUAAAAUUUCUAAAAUGCUCUCCCAACUGAUCGAAAUCAGUUUGUCGAUAUUUAUUCUUCGCGAAAAUGCGUUAAAUGCUAAAUAUAUAUGUAAAUGGAAGAAAAUAGAAAACGGUACAGUGUUUAUAAUAUUUAAAAUGUUAGAUGACAUCUAUAAUCAGCGAAUAGACGCUUCCGAUCCAAGGCCGCAACACGGAAGAAGCAUCGAGGUUUGUCCUUGAACUGGGAUGGCGACCGUGAAGACAGCGCUUUCCGACCCUGAACAAGAGCCGAUUGACAUAGAUGUGCAGAUUCGACCUUCAAAUGACCUUGGGGUACUAAAGGAGGUGUGGUUAUAAAAAUCGACCCAAUCACUAUUCUAUGAUAUCACACGAAAUAGAUGACAUCAUUUAACAAAUAUGGGUAUAUACAGGUAAAGGUAUUGAUCCAUUCGGGAUGUAGCGGUUGGUAUCAACUCAAAUGAAGUUUCAACCACUACUUCAUGUACAGAACAUCAAGUACGUGUAACCAGGUUAUAUUUACUUCGUGCUUUAUGGCAACCUUAACUAUUUAUCUUGUAUCAACCUUGACAGUUUUUCAAACAUCUG